rnacentral:rRNA from 1 species
UGGUGGAGUGAUUUGUCUGGUUAAUUCCGUUAACGAACGAGACCUCGACCUGCUAACUAGUAAAGUCGACCUUCUGGUCGACUUCUGACUUCUUAGAGGGACUAUCGGUGUGUAGCCGAUGGAAGUUCGAGGCAAUAACA